UAGUUCUUAGUAUAAGAUGUACAAAAGUUUUUGAUACUUUAAGAAAUAGUUUAAUUCUGUUGGAACUAA
rnacentral:tRNA from 1 species